UUGUCAGUUCGUUGUGCUUCCAACCUUUAUGUCAUUCUUGUGCUUCCCUGUGCUUUUGAUCCCUGUGUCCCCCAUUUUGGAUAAUUUCUUUGUUUGGACUAUGUCCCCUGGACUCCCAGCUGCCUUUUGUUUGCACCUGUUUCAUUUUGAAACCACCAGAGACUGGUCCACAGCAACAGAGUAUUAAUGGUGAAUGUUGGAAAAACUGCAGGGCUGACACCACAGGGGACCAUAAGAAUUUCAUGGACUCAAGCACUUGCUACUGAAAGAAUGCAUCAAACAAACGCAGGAGGAAACAUUCCCUCCCAAGUGUCAUGGCUUCUCUUUAUGAUCCCCACAGCGCUGAACCCCCAGAUCAAGCAAUAUCUCCAGGGAUUCGAGGAGUUAUUUAAUCUGAGCCGUAUAUGACUCCCAGUGGAUUGGAGGCAUGUGGGAACUUGCACAUCGCUGACUAUCCUAUCAUUUUUUCUGAAUUAUGAUAUCAGAGAGCCACUCUGACUGUGAAAUACGGUCACGGUGGAGAGGCAAUGGGUUCAGCUGGUCAUCUGGAUUUAGUUUCAACAGUGUCUUAGUAGCACAUGUAAAGCACAAGUAAAAUGUGAAUCUCAUUUGGGUCAAUUAUGUCCUCCCUAUGUCCCCCAAUCAUUUUGCAGCACAUGCUAUAUGUAAUCAGACUUCUACACAUAUUCACCUUUCAUUUCCUUAAUUAAGGUAUAACAAUUUUAUUGUUCGGAACUAAAUUAUCUGCUGCCCUAGCUCUCAGAGACACCCUGAAGAUAUCACGCAUGUGACAAUAAAGUCUGUAAGGUGACAUGUUGUGAGAGAUUAUCCUUUCACCGACACCUCCGUUUCUUCCUGUUACUGUCAGGAAGUAACACAGCGCAGC